CCUACGGGUGGCAGCAGUGGGGAAUAUUGCACAAUGGGGGAAACCCUGAUGCAGCGACGCCGCGUGAGUGAAGAAGUAUUUCGGUACGUAAAGCUCUAUCAGCAGGGAAGAAAAUGACGGUACCUGACUAAGAAGCCCCGGCUAACUACGUACCAGCAGCCGCGGUACUACGUAGGGGGCAAGCGUUAUCCGGAUUUACCGGGUGUAAAGGGAGCGUAGACGGCAGCGCAGGUCUGGAGUGAAAUCCGAUGGCUUAACCAUGGAACUGCUGUGGAAACUGUGCAGCUGGAGUGCAGGAGAGGUAAGCGGAAUUCCUAGUGUAGCGGUGAAAUGCGUAGAUAUUAGGAGGAACCCCAGUGGCGAAGGCGGCUUACUGGACUGUAACUGACGUUGAGGCUCGAAAGCGUGGGGAGCAAACAGGAUUAGAUACCCCAGUAGUC
rnacentral:rRNA from 1 species